AUUUAUUUAGUAUAAUUAAUAUAUUUGACUUCCAAUCAAAAGAUCUUUUACAAGAAUAAAUA
rnacentral:tRNA from 1 species